UUGUGUACUCUCCCAUGGUUUGUGGCCCAUCUUCUCCACUAGGCACGGUUGCUAGGACGUGGGUAGAAUGCAGUUGCCCAGUGGUCUUAUAUAAUAUAGACCCUUGCAUCCAAAUAUUCACCUCCAUACAUCUUUCAGUUUGUAGCAGAUAUGAUAUAUGCACAUAAAUAAACACACCGUUGGUACCGCGUUCUUCAAUCGUGAUCUCAAACUUACAUUCAAUUGUUCUUCAUUCAAGAUCUGCCCUUCUCCUCUACUCGCCGCCGCUGUUGUUUGAGUCGGACAUCGGCGCCGCCUCCGUUCUACACCCUUUUGUCAUUUAACACACCCUGGCGCCACAAAAUUUCUGAAAUCAAUCACAAGGUCGUUGAUGUUCUUGGAUAGGUUACUAUCUCAGUUAAGGCUUAGUGGAGAUAAAUUAUUAGUUGCAGAAGAUCCUAAAGAGAAAGACAUAUCAACUUGAAAGUCCCAAGUGAGAGGAGGACAAAGGUCAUUACUUGAGGCUAGCAAUCUGAUUGUUCUCAAGGGAUAUAAAAAGUAGUUGAGUGGAACCCAUACACUAAAAUUACUAAGUACUAAUUACACUAGAUAAUGUGAGUUUGGAAGAAGGGGGCAAGGGGCCAUGUGUAAGCCACUUAAUGCUGGUAUCCAUGCCUAUAGGCGUGUCGAUAUCAACCCAGACAAUAAAGUUUCGAUCUUUGGGGAUGGACCCAUCUCCACUUUUACACGGCAGGCUGAGCUCACGGUACUGGUUGGUUAUUUUGGGACACAACAAAGUAUGCCAUGAAUGGUUCAGCAAAACUUGAUGCCAAUCUUCAAGAGAUAUUUUUAAUGGAAAUUUGAAGGCUAUUCAGGGAUUGGGAUAGUUUCAAUAGCACCAAACCAUGAGGGCUACUAACGGGCCAACCAACCCAACCCUUCUGAACUUGGUAUAUUAUUCAUAAGUAUGUGAUUUUUGUAACAAAAUUUUUUAUCUUGUCAUAUAUAGUAGUGCAGAAUUCUUGCUUGAAGCAAUAAAUGGACUUCUUUCGGACACCAGGUUUCAAAUAUGGCAUUCAGAAAAGUGUACCCGUUGUCUGGAUGAAUACCCACCAUUGUCGAAUGAAUCAUUUGUCAAUGAAUGAUGGGUAUUACGUUCUUCAAGAAGGCUUUUGUAAUGGUGUCAAUCUUGAUUCUGUUAGCUCUCAAGGUUGCCUAUUAUUUGAGUAUAUGGAAUGGAAUCAGCCUUGGGGUAGAGAACCUUUAGCUGAUAAGGUUAAGCCUUGCCACACGCCAUCCUAUUUACGAGGGUUACGCCUUGCCACAUGCCAUCCUCCGGUUAGAUCUAGCAGGACGUUAUCUAACCGUCUGGUUGAUGAGAUUCUACCAGAACGUAGAACGUGGGUAUACAUUCACCAGAACCGCAAAACGGGAAAUUGUUAGAGACAUGAAAGAAAAACGGGCGUACAUCGCUCUAGACUAUGUUAGAGACAUGAGAAGAGUUUCGAACUGCCCGGCGAGCAGGUCAUUACCAUUGGUCAACAAUGUUAAUAUUCCUAAGAAUCAAUCCAGAUUCUUUGAGCAACAAUCAAUCCAGAUUCAUAUUUCACUAAAGAUGUAAACAACUACUUCCAAUUCUUUAAUUUGCAAAUAGAGUUUGAAAUUGUUUAUUAGUUUGAUUUCAUAAACUUGAAACGAUACCAUCAUACAGAUUCUAAUCAUUGUAUU